rnacentral:rRNA from 1 species
UACGGAGGAUCCAAGCGUUAUCCGGAUUUAUUGGGUUUAAAGGGUGCGUAGGCGGAUUGAUAAGUUAGAGGUGAAAUGUCCGAGCUCAACUCGGGAACUGCCUCUAAUACUGUCGAUCUAGAGAGUAGAUGCGGUAGGCGGAAUGUAUGGUGUAGCGGUGAAAUGCUUAGAGAUCAUACAGAACACCGAUUGCGAAGGCAGCUUACCAAUCUAUAUCUGACGUUGAGGCACGAAAGCGUGGGGAGCAAACAGG